rnacentral:rRNA from 1 species
CCUACGGGAGGCAGCAGUGGGGAAUAUUGGACAAUGGGGGGAACCCUGAUCCAGCGACGCCGCGUGAGUGAAGAAGUCUUUCGGUAUGUAAAGCUCUAUCAGCAGGGAAGAAAGAAAUGACGGUACCUGACUACGAAGCCCCGGCUAACUACGUGCCAGCAGCCGCGGUAAUACGUAGGGGGCAAUCGUUAUCCGGAUUUACUGGGUGUAAAGGGAGCGUAGACGGUUACGCAAGUCUGGAGUGAAAGGCGGGGGCCCAACCCCCGGACUGCUUUGGAAACUGUAUAACUGGAGUGCAGGAGAGGUAAGUGGAAUUCCUAGUGUAGCGGUGAAAUGCGUAGAUAUUAGGAGGAACACCAGUGGCGAAGGCGGCUUACUGGACUGUAACUGACGUUGAGGCGCGAAAGCGUGGGGAGCAAACAGGAUUAGAUACCCGAGUAGUC